rnacentral:rRNA from 1 species
UAUUUUUGACGGGCCGCGGUAUACUGACCGUGCGAAGGUAGCAUAAUCAUUAGUCUUUUAAUUGAAGGCUUGUAUGAAUGGUUGGACAAAAAGUAAUCUGUCUCAGUUAUAAUAGUUGAACUUAACUUUUAAGUGAAAAGGCUUAAAUACUUUAAGGGGACGAUAAGACCCUAUAAAACUUAACAAUAAUUUGAUUAAAUUAUAAAUUGUUAGUAUAACUUGAUUUUAAUUAAUGUUUGUUGCGUUGGGGCGACGGGAAUAUAAUUAGUAACUGUUCUUAAAUAUUUUAUUAACAAGUAUAAUUGAAGAAUAAUUGAUCCUUUAUUAAAGAUUAAAAGAUUAAGUUACUUUAGGGAUAACAGCGUAAUCUUCUUUGAGAGUCCUCAUCGACAAGAAGGUUUGCGACCUCGAUGUUGAAUUAAGGUAUCCUUAUAAUGCAG